UGGGGAAUAUUGCACAAUGGGGGAACCCUGAUGCAGCGACGCCGCGUGGAGGAAGAAGGUCUUCGGAUUGUAAACUCCUGUUGUUGGGGACGAUAAUGACGGUACCCAACAAGGAAGUGACGGCUAACUACGUGCCAGCAGCCGCGGUAAAACGUAGGUCACAAGCGUUGUCCGGAAUUACUGGGUGUAAAGGGAGCGCAGGCGGGAAUGCAAGUUGGGAGUGAAAUCUACGGGCUCAACCCGUAAACUGCUCUCAAAACUGUAUUUCUUGAGUAGUGCAGAGGUAGGCGGAAUUCCCGGUGUAGCGGUGGAAUGCGUAGAUAUCGGGAGGAACACCAGUGGCGAAGGCGGCCUGCUGGGCACCAACUGACGCUGAGGC
rnacentral:rRNA from 1 species